rfam:Cochliobolus heterostrophus C5 unplaced genomic scaffold COCHEscaffold_10, whole genome shotgun sequence.
GGUCGGUUGGCGCAAUGGUAGCGCGUGGCCCUCCUAUGCUAGCAUCUACAUCGAGCAGAGCAAGGCAAAGUAAAGGCCAAGGUUGCGGGUUCGAGUCCCGUGCUGAUCG